rnacentral:rRNA from 1 species
GAUGAACGCUGGCGGCGUGCCUAAUACAUGCAAGUCGAGCGAACAGACGAGGAGCUUGCUCCUCUGACGUUAGCGGCGGACGGGUGAGUAACACGUGGAUAACCUACCUAUAAGACUGGGAUAACUUCGGGAAACCGGAGCUAAUACCGGAUAAUAUAUUGAACCGCAUGGUUCAAUAGUGAAAGACGGUUUUGCUGUCACUUAUAGAUGGAUCCGCGCCGCAUUAGCUAGUUGGUAAGGUAACGGCUUACCAAGGCAACGAUGCGUAGCCGACCUGAGAGGGUGAUCGGCCACACUGGAACUGAACCACGGUCCAGACUCCUACGGGAGGCAGCAGUAGGGAAUCUUCCGCAAUGGGCGAAAGCAUGACGGAGCAACGCCGCGUGAGUGAUGAAGGUCUUCGGAUCGUAAAACUCUGUUAUUAGGGAAGAACAAAUGUGUAAGUAACUAUGCACGUCUUGACGGUACCUAAUAAGAAAGCAACGGCUAACUACGUG